rnacentral:snRNA from 1 species
AUAUUUACCUGACAGAGGAGACACCACAAUCAGGGAAGUGGUUUUCUCAGGGUGAAACUCACCCCCUGCACCCUGGGUAUGCUGACCCUUGUGAUUUCCCCAAAUGCAGGAAAUUUGUCUGCAUAAUUUGGGGGGC